rnacentral:misc_RNA from 1 species
UUCAAAUGUUAUGCUUUUGAUUUAACCUCCUAUUCUUUGCCCCUCAAAUAUGAGAUGAAUCAAACUAGAAACAGAGUGAAUUACAAUGAGCCUCUUAAACUAAAGAGCUAGGAAAAUGUUUGCAACAUAGUCUUGUGGUAAAUAACUAUGGCCAAGGUUAUCAUGUGCAGCUUUUGCUUUGAAUUCACUGUCUUUUAUGAAAUUACACAAAUAUCUCAUAGCGUAUAGCGGAAAUGUCAAUGCCUCCAAUGGUCUAGGAUUGCUUAAUUUUAUUGCAGAUGCAGAGGCUCAUGCAAUGAUUUCGUACUUUGGUGUGCUUUUAUUAUGUAUAGUACAUUAUUUGUAAUAGUCUAUGCUUGCUGUUAACAACCUUAUACCAAAGGGAAUCAUCCUCUAAUGGAAAUUGCCACAACCAAUUUACAUCCUACUGUCCCAACUAAUGAUCUUGCUUGUUUUCCUUUAAUCCUGACUAAGGAAAGUCUACCAUUUGUCAACAUUUCAUCCCGUUUUAAG